rnacentral:rRNA from 1 species
AUUGAACGCUGGCGGGAGGCUUAACACAUGCAAGUCGAGCGAGCGGCGGACGGGUGAGUAAUGUCUGGGAACCUGCCCGAUGGAGGGGGAUAACUACUGGAAACAGUAGCUAAUACCGCAUACCAUCUGAUGUGCCCAGAGGGGAUUAGCUAGUUGGUGGGGUAAUGGCUCACCUAGGCAACGAUCCCUAGCUGGUCUGAGAGGAUGACCAGCCACACUGGAACUGAGACACGGCCCAGACUCCUACGGGAGGCAGCAGUGGGGAAUAUUGCACAAUGGGCGAAAGCCUGAUGCAGCCAUGCCGCGUGUAUGAAGAAGGCCUUCGGGUUGUAAAGCACUUUCAGCGAGGAGGCGUUACUCGCAGAAGAAGCACCGGCUAACUCCGUGCCAGCAGCCGCGGUAAUAC